UUAAGUUAAUAAGGGCGCACGGUGGAUGCCUUGGCACUAGAAGCCGAUGAAGGACGUGACUAACGACGAAAUGCUUUGGGGAGCUGUAAGUGAGCAAUGAUCCAGAGAUGUCCGAAUGGGGGAACCCGGCAGGUAAUGCCUGUCACUCAUUACUGUUAAGGUAAUGUAGAGGAAGACGCAGUGAACUGAAACAUCUAAGUAGCUGCAGGAAGAGAAAGCAAAAGCGAUUGCCUUAGUAGCGGCGAGCGAAACGGCAAGAGGGCAAACCGAAGAGUUUACUCUUCGGGGUUGUAGGACUGCAACGUGGACUUAAAGAUUAUAGAAGAACUACCUGGGAAGGUAGGCCAAAGAGAGUAAUAGCCUCGUAUUCGAAAUAGUCUUUAUACCUAGCAGUAUCCUGAGUACGGCGAGACACGAGAAAUCUCGUCGGAAUCUGGGAGGACCAUCUCCCAACCCUAAAUACUCUCUAGUGACCGAUAGUGAACCAGUACCGUGAGGGAAAGGUGAAAAGCACCCCGGGAGGGGAGUGAAAUAGAACCUGAAACCGUGUGCCUACAACAAGUUCGAGCCCGUUAAUGGGUGAGAGCGUGCCUUUUGUAGAAUGAACCGGCGAGUUACGAUAUGAUGCGAGGUUAAGUUGAAGAGACGGAGCCGUAGGGAAACCGAGUCUGAAUAGGGCGUCUUAGUAUUAUGUCGUAGACCCGAAACCAUGUGACCUACCCAUGAGCAGGUUGAAGGUGAGGUAAAACUCACUGGAGGACCGAACCAGGGCACGUUGAAAAGUGCUUGGAUGACUUGUGGGUAGCGGAGAAAUUCCAAACGAACUUGGAGAUAGCUGGUUCUCUCCGAAAUAGCUUUAGGGCUAGCGUCGAUGUUAAGUCUCUUGGAGGUAGAGCACUGUUUGGGUGAGGGGUCCAUCCCGGAUUACCAAUCUCAGAUAAACUCCGAAUGCCAACGAGAUAUAAUCGGCAGUCAGACUGCGAGUGCUAAGAUCCGUAGUCGAAAGGGAAACAGCCCAGACCACCAGCUAAGGUCCCAAAAUAAUUGUUAAGUGGAAAAGGAUGUGGGGUUGCACAGACAACUAGGAUGUUAGCUUAGAAGCAGCUAUUCAUUCAAAGAGUGCGUAAUAGCUCACUAGUCGAGUGACCCUGCGCCGAAAAUGUACCGGGGCUAAAACAAUUUACCGAAGCUGUGGAUACCUUUAUAGGUAUGGUAGGAGAGCGUUCUAUGUGUGGAGAAGGUGUACCGUGAGGAGCGCUGGAACGCAUAGAAGUGAGAAUGCCGGUAUGAGUAGCGAAAGACAGGUGAGAAUCCUGUCCACCGUAAGACUAAGGUUUCCAGGGGAAGGCUCGUCCGCCCUGGGUUAGUCGGGACCUAAGGAGAGACCGAAAGGUGUAUCCGAUGGACAACAGGUUGAUAUUCCUGUACUAGAGUAUGUAGUGAAGGAGGGACGCAGUAGGCUAACUAAAGCGUGCGACUGGAAGUGCACGUCUAAGCAGUGAGGUGUGAAUUGAGUUAAAUGCUUAAUUCUGUAACAUUGAGCUGUGAUGGGGAGCGAAGUUUAGUAGCGAAGUUAGUGACGUCACACUGCCAAGAAAAGCUUCUAGCGUUAAUCAUACUCUACCCGUACCGCAAACCGACACAGGUAGUCGAGGCGAGUAGCCUCAGGUGAGCGAGAGAACUCUCGUUAAGGAACUCGGCAAAAUGACCCCGUAACUUCGGGAGAAGGGGUGCUGACUUUAAGUCAGCCGCAGUGAAUAGGCCCAAGCAACUGUUUAUCAAAAACACAGCUCUCUGCUAAAUCGUAAGAUGAUGUAUAGGGGGUGACGCCUGCCCGGUGCUGGAAGGUUAAGAGGAGUGCUUAGCGUAAGCGAAGGUAUGAAUUGAAGCCCCAGUAAACGGCGGCCGUAACUAUAACGGUCCUAAGGUAGCGAAAUUCCUUGUCGGGUAAGUUCCGACCUGCACGAAUGGUGUAAUGAUCCGGACGCUGUCUCAACCAUGAUCUCAGUGAAAUUGUAGUAUCGGUGAAGAUGCCGAUUACCCGCGAUGGGACGAAAAGACCCCGUGAACCUUUACUACAGCUUAGCAUUGACCUUGGUCAUCCGAUGUGUAGGAUAGGCCGGAGGCUUUGAAGCAUGCACGCCAGUGUGUGUGGAGCCAUCCUUGAAAUACGGCCCUUUGGCUGUCUGAGGUCUAACACGUACUUUCGUGGACAUUGUUUGGUGGGUAGUUUGACUGGGGUGGUCGCCUCCAAAAGCGUAACGGAGGCUUCCAAAGGUGCCCUCGGGCCGAUUGGUAACCGGCCUUAUAGAGUGCAAUGGCAUAAGGGCGCUUGACUGGGAGGCAGACAUGCCGAGCAGGCAGGAAACUGGGGCAUAGUGAUCCGGCGGAUGUGUAUGGAAACUCCGUCGCUCAAAGGAUAAAAGGUACUCCGGGGAUAACAGGCUGAUCCCCCCCAAGAGCUCAUAUCGACGGGGUGGUUUGGCACCUCGAUGUCGGCUCGUCACAUCCUGGGGCUGGAGAAGGUCCCAAGGGUUGGGCUGUUCGCCCAUUAAAGUGGCACGCGAGCUGGGUUCAGAACGUCGUGAGACAGUUCGGUCUCUAUCUAUCGUGGGCGUUGGAGUUUUGCGUGGUGCUGACACUAGUACGAGAGGACCGUGUUGGACAGACCUCCGGUUUACCAGUUGUGCCGCCAGGUGCACCGCUGGGUAUCUGAGUCUGGAUUGGAUAAGCGCUGAAAGCAUCUAAGUGCGAAGCCAGCCGCAAGAUGAGAACUCCUCAUAAGGGUCGUCAUAGACGAUGACGUUGAUAGGGUGUAGGUGUAAAGACGGUGACGUCAAAGCCGAGCACUACUAAUUGCCCGAAACUUUCUUCGG
rnacentral:rRNA from 1 species